UAUGUCAUUCUGCAACUGUGUGUUAGUCUGGAGAUAAAGUACUGGGAAUUUAUUUUGUAGAGUUUUAGGUUGUAGUAUAUAACGCAGACCGGCCGGCGUUUCGACCAGUUUGGAUAUUGAUCUAGUGUCUGUUGGUUGUUCGAGAUAAUUUGGAGGAAUCUUAUUUUUGUUACAGAAAAAUGGCUGACCGCAUGGUAUUCCCCGAUGAAGUUGAAAAAGCUAAGGCUGAAGCCCUUGAAAACGCAGAAGAGACAAAAGUAGAAGAAGUAAAAAGUAACUCUAUUGAAGACACUUCAGGCAGUGUAGAAACACCUCAAGUCACUAUGAGGAAUGUCAUUGUUGUACCUGGAAAUUGUCCGCCAGGGUACCAGAUGGGAGCAGAUGGUGUUUGCCGAGAAACCUUCUAAGUUGUUCCUCUUCUAAAACUAAUCUUUUAAACAGAUCUCUAUUUCUAAAUUUAUCCACCUUCAAACUUUCCAUGUGCAGUUGUUGUUCUUGUAUGAUCGCAAUGAUAUCAGUAUAUCGGAUUUAUCAGGUUCAAAAUGGUCAUACCAUGAUUAAAUCAAAUGUGAUUGUGACGCAGAGGUAGCUAUAUCUCGCAGUUUGAAUACUAAAGAAUUGUUUAGGGAAGCAGUAACUUGAAUAUCAUCGUGUAAAACACUUGGGAAACUGAGGUUAAUUCUAAAAAUAAAUCAAUGGAUUGGAAUCUUUAAUUAAUUUAAGAUUGUAUCGGUAAUUUAAGACCUCCCAGUAUUAAUUCU
rnacentral:lncRNA from 1 species